GAUACCACAAACGAAAUGUGCUUUCUUCUUCGAUAAAAGGAGUGUUCUCCGUCGAUAUUUGAUUAUAAUUCCAAAUAUUUUCUACGAAUAAUUCAACUAUAAAAGAAAACUUACAAUUAUAGAUUUUCUAAUCGAUUUCUAAAAACAAAGGGUUGGUGUGCUGGUGAAAACAUUAAGAUAAUUUUCUAAAAUACUAAGAUAAAUUUUAGAAAUGAAUUUAAUUAUUUAAAUGUUCAUUAUUUGAACAUGUAAAUACAUCGUUGAAAACACGAAGAUUAGGGGAAUUAGAUAGCUCUACAAUGUGAGAAAAGCAAAUAGACAAAAAUAAUUGUUUCGAGGUGGCUCGUUAACUGACAUAAUAGUAUUUUGAUCACACACGAUGAAAUUUAACUACUUCCGUUAAAGUCACUUACCAUGCACGUUAAUUGUUAACUAUCGCAAAUAUAUGAAUGAAAUAUAUGAAAUUAUGGGUGGCUAAUGAAUAAUAAACGAGCAAUUGGUUAAGUAAAUGAGAACCUCGAACGUACCGAAAGAUUUCCUGUAGAAAGCGAGAAAGUGGUUUAUCCAGAAGUUUGCAAUAAGAUCAACUUAACUUGGACGAGUUGCAGCGAUGCAUUCUAACGCAUGAGCUAACUUUUAACUCUGACGUAAUUCUAUAUAUGUAUUGUUGUAUAUAUGGAUCGUCUUACAAAACUAAUAUUUAUAUAUAUAUAUUGGGAUUAUAUUAACAAUUUUAACCAAUUGAGCUAUCCAGGGCCAAUUCCCUUCGACGAAUGCUUAAUAAGCUUGGCAUGGAGGUGUCCGUCUCACAUACAUAUAUAUUCCAAGGUAAACUGCUUUGAGACCAUCAGAUUUUUAUCGACUUUUAUUAUGUUUCUUCUUUUGCAUAAUUCUAUUGAACGUGAGGUUUCUUUUACAUCUCCAACAACUCCAAUGGUCUGGGCUAUAAAACAAGAAUGAAAAGAAUUAAUUAAUGGCUUUUGCGUGUCUAUACAAUA